ACAGGCCUUACUGACCGCAGAGCUCGUAAACAUUAUUUUGUAUGAUAUUUCCCAUUGUAAUCAGAUGGAAAAGAUAUCUUUGGAUUUGCCGAUUUUGAUCAAUUAACCUAGGAAUUAUACUGCGACAUGUAUUUUGUUGUUUUUUGGGAUGAAUGGUGCGCUACAAUAACGGCUUCUUGGCUUAUCUUGAAGUCUCAAGUUUUCAAAUGGCCACCCAAAAAUAAGAAUGCUACUAAUGAAAGUAAAAAAGGAACGAAGCCUCAAGAAAAGUGGAUAACAGUUCGAUAUUCCAAAUUGUUAGGACCUUUCGGUA